UACGUAGGGUGCGAGCGUUGUCCGGAAUUAUUGGGCGUAAAGAGCUUGUAGGCGGUUUGUCGCGUCUGCUGUGAAAAUCCGGGGCUCAACCCCGGACUUGCAGUGGGUACGGGCAGACUGGAGUGUGGUAGGGGAGACUGGAAUUCCUGGUGUAGCGGUGGAAUGCGCAGAUAUCAGGAGGAACACCGAUGGCGAAGGCAGGUCUCUGGGCCAUUACUGACGCUGAGGAGCGAAAGCGUGGGGAGCGAACAGG
rnacentral:rRNA from 1 species